UACUCCAGACGGAAUUCGAACCAGCAUCACUUGUUUAUUGGACGACUAGGCUACCAUUACACCACCAGGGC